GGGUUAGAUGAAUCGGCACCCAUUGAAGUUCGAUUCUAUCGUUAAAAGGAAAUAUCAUCAUG
rnacentral:sRNA from 12 species